rnacentral:rRNA from 1 species
UCGGAAUUACUGGGCGUAAAGGGCUCGUAGGCGGCCAACUAAGUCAGACGUGAAAUCCCUCGGCUUAACCGGGGAACUGCGUCUGAUACUGGAUGGCUUGAGUUUGGGAGAGGGACGCGGAAUUCCAGGUGUAGCGGUGAAAUGCGUAGAUAUCUGGAGGAACGCCGGUGGCGAAGGCGGCGUCCUGGACCAAUACCGACACUGAAACGCGAAAGCCAGGGGAGCAAACGGG